AGAGUUCGAUCCUGGCUCAGGAUGAACGCUGGCGGCGUGCUUAACACAUGCAAGUCGAACGGGAAUUAUUUUAUUGAAACUUCGGUCGAUUUAAUUUAAUUCUAGUGGCGGACGGGUGAGUAACGCGUGAGGAACCUGCCUUGAAGAGGGGGACAACAGUUGGAAACGACUGCUAAUACCGCAUGACGCAUAGAGGUCGCAUGAUCUUUAUGCCAAAGAUUUAUCGCUUCAAGAUGGCCUCGCGUCUGAUUAGCUAGUUGGCGGGGUAACGGCCCACCAAGGCGACGAUCAGUAGCCGGACUGAGAGGUUGAACGGCCACAUUGGGACUGAGAUACGGCCCAG
rnacentral:rRNA from 1 species